rnacentral:rRNA from 1 species
UACGUAGGUGGCAAGCGUUGUCCGGAAUUAUUGGGCGUAAAGCGCGCGCAGGUGGUUUCUUAAGUCUGAUGUGAAAGCCCACGGCUCAACCGUGGAGGGUCAUUGGAAACUGGGGAACUUGAGUGCAGAAGAGGAAAGUGGAAUUCCAAGUGUAGCGGUGAAAUGCGUAGAGAUUUGGAGGAACACCAAUGGCGAAGGCGGCGACCUGGGCAGAUACUGACACUGAGGCACGAAGGCCAGGGGAGCAAACGGG